GACGAACGCUGGCGGCGUGCUUAACACAUGCAAGUCGAACGGUAAGGCCCUUCGGGGUACACGAGUGGCGAACGGGUGAGUAACACGUGGGUGAUCUGCCCUGCACUUCGGGAUAAGCCUGGGAAACUGGGUCUAAUACCGGAUAGGACUACUGCCUGCAUGGGUGGUGGUGGAAAGCUUUUGCGGUGUGGGAUGGGCCCGCGGCCUAUCAGCUUGUUGGGGGGGUGAUGGCCUACCAAGGCGACGACGGGUAGCCGGCCGGAGAGGGUGACCGGCCACACUGGGACUGAGAUACGGCCCAGACUCCUACGGGAGGCAGCAGUGGGGAAUAUUGCACAAUGGGCGCAAGCCUGAUGCAGCGACGCCGCGUGAGGGAUGACGGCCUUCGGGUUGUAAACCUCUUUCAGCACCGACGAAGCGCAAGUGACGGUAGGUGCAGAAGAAGGACCGGCCAACUACAUGCCAGCAGCCGCCGUAA
rnacentral:rRNA from 1 species